UUAGUUUACUAAUGGAGCGGUUAGUGGCGGACUGGUGAGUAACACGUAAGCAACCUGCCUAUCAGAGGGGAACAACAGUUAGAAAUGACUGCUAAUACCGCAUAUGCCUUAGCAACACAUGUUGCAAAAGGGAAAGGAGCAAUUCGCUGAUAGAUGGGCUUGCGUCUGAUUAGAUAGUUGGUGGGGUAACGGCCUACCAAGUCGACGAUCAGUAGCCGGACUGAGAGGUUGAACGGCCACAUUGGGACUGAGAUACGGCCCAGACUCC
rnacentral:rRNA from 1 species